UCGCUCUCGCUCUCGCUCUCGCUCUCGCUCUCGCUCUCUCUCUCGCUCUCGCUCUCGCUCUCGCUCUUGCUCUCCCCUUGUCUUUUGCCUCUCACUCUCCUUCUCCCCUUUCAUUCCCCCCUCUCUUCAUGUGUCAUUCCCCGCUCUCUUCAUGUGGCCAUGGCCGGCUUCUACUUCUCUUCCCUUCUCUCUCCCUCUGCCUUUCUACAAUAAAUGCCUUCAGACAAUGGACCAUCUCUGCUCAUCGAGAUCCGCCAUGCUGGAGCAAUGGACCAGGCUUCCCUCUAAUGAGCAGAGCAUCAAACCUCCCGCCUGGAGGCCUUCCUGUGCUCCAGCCACAGCUGCCACCAAUCCAAGCUGCCUGCCUGAACUAGCCAGACUCUCAUCACUGUGGGGUUGGCCUCAUACAAGACUCAGGAAAAUGCAAAGCAAAAUCACCAUGAGAUCUCAUCUUUUAUUUGCUGAAGUGGCUAAGUAUCAAAGACAGAGACAAAUCAACUAAGAGGCCUGCUCUGGCCUAUGAGGGUAUUUCUUGGGGGGAUCAACUGAAGGGAAAAGAACAUCUCCCCCAACCCCUGGUGUGUGGCACCUGAAGUAAAGCUGUUGCUUCUGCCUGACUGCCUUCAAUGCCUGCUGGUGAGGACAGCUACUCCGAGGCUGCCAUCCUUCACUUUAGAACCCAGAUUCUUCAGCCUUCCCCCAGAGACUGAAGACCUACUGUUCUCUGGGAAUCCCCAGGCCAGAAUGACUUGGGUAACCAGUCUCAAGGACCCAGAAGCUAAUGAGAUCCCAGGCUCUCCAGCAGGACGGUGGCCAUUACAGGGCUAACCUGGACUAUGUAAGCCACUCUAGUAAAUUCGCAGUGUAAUUUAUAUUCAUUAAAUUACCUUUGUUUUGUC
rnacentral:lncRNA from 1 species